rnacentral:rRNA from 1 species
GGGUGCAGUCAUACCAGGACUAAUGCACCGGAUCCUAUCAAGAUUCCGCAGUUAAGCGUGCUUGGGCGAGAGUCGUACUAGAGUGGGUGACCUCCUUGUAAGUCCUCGUAUUGCACCCC